rnacentral:rRNA from 1 species
UACGUAGGGUGCAAGCGUUGUCCGGAAUUAUUGGGCGUAAAGAGCUCGUAGGCGGUCUGUCACGUCGGCUGUGAAAACCCGAGGCUCAACCUCGGGCCUGCAGUCGAUACGGGCAAACUAGAGUACUGCAGGGGAGACUGGAAUUCCUGGUGUAGCGGUGAAAUGCGCAGAUAUCAGGAGGAACACCGGUGGCGAAGGCGGGUCUCUGGGCCGAUACUGACGUGGAGGAGCGAAAGCCGUGGGGAGCGAACAGG